UCAUACGGGAGGCAGCAGUGGGGAAUAUUGGACAAUGGGCGAAAGCCUGAUCCAGCCAUGCCGCGUGUGUGAAGAAGGUCUUCGGAUUGUAAAGCACUUUAAGUUGGGAGGAAGGGCAGUAAGUUAAUACCUUGCUGUUUUGACGUUACCGACAGAAUAAGCACCGGCUAACUUCGUGCCAGCAGCCGCGGUAAUACGAAGGGUGCAAGCGUUAAUCGGAAUUACUGGGCGUAAAGCGCGCGUAGGUGGUUCGUUAAGUUGGAUGUGAAAGCCCCGGGCUCAACCUGGGAACUGCAUCCAAAACUGGCGAGCUAGAGUAUGGCAAAGGGUGGUGGAAUUUCCUGUGUAGCGGUGAAAUGCCUAAAUAUAGGAAGGAACACCAUUGGCGAAAGGGGACCACCUGGGCUAAUACUGACACCUAAGGUGCGAAAACUGUGGGGAAGCAAACAGGCAUUAAAACCCCCGGGGA
rnacentral:rRNA from 1 species